AGGGGCAUGGUCUAAGUAUAAAGAAUUAUACCGUGAAACUGCGAAUGGCUCAUUAAAUCAGUUAUCGUUUAUUUGAUAAUACCUUACUACUUGGAUAACCGUGGUAAUUCUAGAGCUAAUACAUGCUGAAAAUCCCGACUUCGGAAGGGAUGUGUUUAUUAAAUAAAAAACCAAUGCCCUUCGGGGCUUUUUGGUGAUUCAUGAUAACUUUACGGAUCGCAUAGCCUUGCGCUGGCGACGGUUCAUUCAAAUUUCUGCCCUAUCAACUUUCGAUGGUAAGGUAUUGGCUUACCAUGGUUUCAACGGGUAACGGGGAAUUAGGGUUCGAUUCCGGAGAGGGAGCCUGAGAAACGGCUACCACAUCCAAGGAAGGCAGCAGGCGCGCAAAUUACCCAAUCCCGACACGGGGAGGUAGUGACAAUAAAUACUGAUACAGGGCUCUUUUGGGUCUUGUAAUUGGAAUGAGUACAAUUUAAACCUCUUAACGAGGAACAAUUGGAGGGCAAGUCUGGUGCCAGCAGCCGCGGUAAUUCCAGCUCCAAUAGCGUAUAUUAAAGUUGUUGCAGUUAAAAAGCUCGUAGUUGAAACUUGGGCCUGGCUGGCGGGUCCGCCUCACCGCGUGCACUCGUCCGGCCGGGCCUUCCUUCUGAAGAACCUCAUGCCCUUCACUGGGCGUGUUGGGGAAUCAGGACUUUUACUUUGAAAAAAUUAGAGUGUUCAAAGCAGGCCUUUGCUCGAAUACGUUAGCAUGGAAUAAUAAAAUAGGGCGUGCGUUUCUAUUUUGUUGGUUUCUAGAGACGCCGCAAUGAUUAACAGGAACAGUCGGGGGCAUCAGUAUUCAGUUGUCAGAGGUGAAAUUCUUGGAUUUACUGAAGACUAACUACUGCGAAAGCAUUUGCCAAGGAUGUUUUCAUUAAUCAGUGAACGAAAGUUAGGGGAUCGAAGACGAUCAGAUACCGUCGUAGUCUUAACCGUAAACUAUGCCGACUAGGGAUCGGGCGAUGUUCUUUUUCUGACUCGCUCGGCACCUUACGAGAAAUCAAAGUUGUGGCUUUUGGGGGGAUUAAA
rnacentral:rRNA from 1 species